AACGAACGCUGGCGGCAGGCCUAACACAUGCAAGUCGAACGCCGUAGCAAUACGGAGUGGCAGACGGGCGAGUAACACGUGGGAACGUACCCUUCGGUUCGGGAUAACUCAGGGAAACUUGAGCUAAUACCGGAUACGUCCGAGAGGAGAAAGAUUUAUUGCCGAGGGAUCGGCCCGCGUCUGAUUAGCUUGUUGGUGAGGUAACGGCUCACCAAGGCGACGAUCAGUAGCUGGCUGAGAGGAUGAUCAGCCACAUUGGGACUGAGACACGGCCCAAACUCCUACGGGAGGCAGCAGGUGGGGAAUAUUGGACAAUGGGCGCAAGCCUGAUCCAGCCAUGCCGCGUGAGUGAUGAAGGCCCUAGGGUUGUAAA
rnacentral:rRNA from 1 species